UACGGAGGAUCCAAGCGUUAUCCGGAAUCAUUGGGUUUAAAGGGUCCGUAGGCGGUUUAAUAAGUCAGUGGCGAAAGCCCAUCGCUCAACGGUGGAACGGCCAUUGAUACUGUUAAACUUGAAUUAUUAGGAAGUAACUAGAAUAUGUAGUGUAGCGGUGAAAUGCUUAGAGAUUACAUGGAAUACCAAUUGCGAAGGCAGGUUACUACUAAUGGAUUGACGCUGGUGGACGAAAGCGUGGGUAGCGAACAGG
rnacentral:rRNA from 1 species